rnacentral:lncRNA from 1 species
UUGUCAACAGGGGAUAGCACCAUUAGAACUUUGGGUUAUUUUACUAUUCACGUGAUUUUUAACUUCUGUUUCAAUCCACUUUCUUUUAUUAUUCACGUGUCCUAACAUUAUUGCCAUGAUGGAUUGUAUUUAAUGUUUAGCUCUAGGAUGAUUUUCUUUUUAUUUAAGCAUUUUCUUUUUCGUAUCUCAUCUAAUUCUAUGCUCUACGGUUUUUCCAAAUCUUUCACAACCCCCCCCCCCCCACUUUGUGUUAGACCUAAGACUUGAACCACAAAGUUGGUUUAGAGACGACCUAGGGGUCAUUCCUUAGCUAUAUUGCAUUUCUAAUAUGCAAUCAAAUUUGUAUGGGCCGCGACAGCCCAUCAAAUUUUUGGCGCCGUUGUCGAGGACCAACGGUUCGGUUUUAGGUCUUUUGUUGUGUUUGUGUGUGAUGUGUUUUGUCUCGUGUUGUGAGUGUGAUGUUUUGUUUUGUGUGUUCGUCAUUGUGUGUUUCAUUUAGGUAGCUUUAGUCGCAUAUCUUCAUUGCAUUCUUCUUUCCCACCCUUUUUUACAUGUCUACCUAUUUCGGUUAUGUGAGUAAUGUUUCUU